rnacentral:rRNA from 1 species
AGCGAACGCUGGCGGCAGGCCUAACACAUGCAAGUCGAACGAACCUUUCGGGGUUAGUGGCGGACGGGUGAGUAACACGUGGGAACGUGCCUUUAGGUUCGGAAUAACUCAGGGAAACUUGUGCUAAUACCGAAUGCGCCCUUCGGGGGAAAGAUUUAUCGCCUUUAGAGCGGCCCGCGUCUGAUUAGCUAGUUGGUUGAGGUAAUGGCUCACCAAGGCGACGAUCAGUAGCUGGUCUGAGAGGAUGAUCAGCCACAUUGGGACUGAGACACGGCCCAAACUCCUACGGGAGGCAGCAGUGGGGAAUCUUGCGCAAUGGGCGAAAGCCUGACGCAGCCAUGCCGCGUGAAUGAUGAAGGUCUUAGGAUGGUAAAAUUCUUUCACCGGGGACGAUAAUGACGGUACCCGGAGAAGAAGCCCCGGCUAACUUCGU